rnacentral:rRNA from 1 species
GGAUAACUAUUGGAAACGAUAGCUAAUACCGCAUAACAAUGGGUGACACAUGUCAUUUAUUUGAAAGGGGCAAUUGCUCCACUACAAGAUGGACCUGCGUUGUAUUAGCUAGUAGGUGAGGUAACGGCUCACCUAGGCGACGAUACAUAGCCGACCUGAGAGGGUGAUCGGCCACACUGGGACUGAGACACGGCCCAGACUCCUACGGGAGGCAGCAGUAGGGAAUCUUCGGCAAUGGGGGCAACCCUGACCGAGCAACGCCGCGUGAGUGAAGAAGGUUUUCGGAUCGUAAAGCUCUGUUGUAAGUCAAGAACGAGUGUGAGAGUGGAAAGUUCACACUGUGACGGUAGCUUACCAGAAAGGGACGGCUAACUACGUGCCAGCAGCCGCGGUAAUACGUAGGUCCCGAGCGUUGUCCGGAUUUAUUGGGCGUAAAGCGAGCGCAGGCGGUUUGAUAAGUCUGAAGUUAAAGGCCGUGGCUCAACCAUAGUUCGCUUUGGAAACUGUCAAACUUGAGUGCAGAAGGGGAGAGUGGAAUUCCAUGUGUAGCGGUGAAAUGCGUAGAUAUAUGGAGGAACACCGGUGGCGAAAGCGGCUCUCUGGUCUGUAACUGACGCUGAGGCUCGAAAGCGUGGGGAGCGAACAGGAUUAGAUACCCUGGUAGUCCACGCCGUAAACGAUGAGUACUAGGUGUUGGAUCCUUUCCGGGAUUCAGUGCCGCAG